CCUACGGGAGGCAGCAGUAGGGAAUCUUCCGCAAUGGACGAAAGUCUGACGGAGCAACGCCGCGUGAGUGAUGAAGGUUUUCGGAUCGUAAAGCUCUGUUGUUAGGGAAGAACAAGUACCGUUCGAAUAGGGCGGUACCUUGACGGUACCUAACCAGAAAGCCACGGCUAACUACGUGCCAGCAGCCGGCGGCAUAUACGUAGGUGGACAAGCGUUGUCCGGAAAUUAUUGGGCGUAAAGGGCUCGCAGGCGGUUUCUAAGUCUGAUGUGAAAGCCCCGCUCACCGGGGAGGGUCAUUGGAAACUGGGGAACUUGAGUGCAGAAGAAGGAGAGUGGGAUUCCACCGUGUAGCGGUGAAAUGCGUAGAGAUGUGGAGGACACCAGGCGAAGGCGACUCUCUGGUCUGUAACUGACGCUGAGAGCGAAAGCGUGGGGAAGCGAACAGGAUUAGAUACCUGGUAGUCCCCCCGUAAACAAUGAGUGCUAGUGUUAGGGGUUUCCGCCCUUUAGUGCUGCAGCUACGCAUUAAGCACUCCGCCUGGGGAGUACGGUCGCAAGACUGAAACUCAAAGGAAUUGACGGGGGCCCGCACAAGCGGUGGAGCAUGUGGUUUAAUUCGAAGCAACGCGAAGAACCUUAC
rnacentral:rRNA from 1 species